rnacentral:rRNA from 1 species
GGAUCAAUUUGCUGGUCGUGCCUUCGGUACGUACUGGUAUUAUUGGUUUCUCCUUUCUGAAGAACUACGAUGUCAUUAAUUUGGUGUCGUGGGGAAUCAGGACUGUUACUUUGAAAAAAUUAGAGUGUUUAAAGCAGGCUCACGCUUGAAUACAUUAGCAUGGAAUAACGGAAUAGGACGUUUGAUUCUAUUUUGUUGGUUUCUAGGAUCGACGUA